AGACGGGGUUUCACCAUGUUAGCCAGGAUGGUCUCGAUCUCCUGACUUCGAGAUCCACCCACCUCGGCCUCCCAAAGUGCUGGGAUUACAGGCAUGAGCCACCACACCCGGCGACUCAUUCUUAUACAACUACCUUUGUCAGCAUUCUUGCCAUUGGACUGUCUAGCCCUUGAUGCUGUUAUAUCAUGGCUUGUUGAUACAGAAGAUGCUACAUGAACUCAAGUGGAACUCUGACUGCCUUGAGAGCAUCCCACCAUCCAUUGCUGCUGCAUCAAGGUAUUAAAAAGAGAGACAGAAGGAAGAG
rnacentral:lncRNA from 1 species